AUUGAACGCUGGCGGCAGGCCUAACACAUGCAAGUCGAGCGGAGCGGCGGACGGGUGAGUAAUGCCUAGGAAUCUGCCUGUUAGUGGGGUAUAACGUCCGGAAACGGGCGCUAAUACCGCAUACUAUCAGAUGAGCCUAGGUGGGCGUAGCUAGUUGGUGGGGUAAAGGCCUACCAAGGCGACGAUCCGUAACUGGUCUGAGAGGAUGAUCCGUCACACGUGAACUGAUACACGUCCCAUACUCCUACGGGAGGCAGCAGUGGGGAAUAUUGGACAAUGGGCGAAAGCCUGAUCCAGCAAUGCCGCGUGUGUGAAGAAGGUCUUCGGAUUGUAAAGCACUUUAAGUUGAGAGGCGUUACCAACAGAAUAAGCACCGGCUAACUUCGUGCCAGCAGCCGCGGUAAUUC
rnacentral:rRNA from 1 species